AACCCAUGGUGAAGGCACCAUCUCAACAAGUCCUUAUAUCUCUCCCAUGCAUCGUAGAGUGUUUCUAGAUCCAUCUGCAUAAAAGAGGAGAUAUCAUUACGUAAUUU
rfam:Gossypium hirsutum cultivar TM-1 chromosome 12, whole genome shotgun sequence